GUCCACGCCGUAAACGAUGGAUACUAGCUGUUCGGGGCAACCUGAGUGGCUAAGCGAAAGUGAUAAGUAUCCCACCUGGGGAGUACGGGCGCAAGCCUGAAACUCAAAGGAAUUGACGGGGGCCCGCACAAGCGGUGGAGCAUGUGGUUUAAUUCGAUGAUACGCGAGGAACCUUACCAAGGCUUAAAUGUAGAUUGACAGGUUUGGAAACAGACUUUCCUUCGGGCAAUUUACAAGGUGCUGCAUGGUUGUCGU
rnacentral:rRNA from 1 species